ACAGUGCCCAUGGCGACUCUCACAGGUUCAAACAAAUGCUGGCAUCGAUGUGACCAAAUACGAACAAUGUUCCACUUCACAGGCUUUGUAGAGUCACGGAAGCUCCCCACGUGGGUCCCUCACUUCUGCUGCCCACUCCCAGGGAGGGACCCUUGUUCUUGUGAAAUAAAAGCAGAGGCUUCUACGUGGGGUGCUGUGUUCUUUGUUUGUUUGUUUGUUCACCGGACUCUGCCCCCCUUUCUGGCUCAGAAACUCCAUGGCCCUGCUCUGUGAGACCAUGUGGAAGCGCCAUGAACAUAACAUGUGAACAUACUGGAGCCUUAGAGGGUGAGGAGAAUAAACGUGGUUUAUUUU